rnacentral:rRNA from 1 species
AUGGGGCUUAGAUAUGAAAUAGCAAAUCCGUUUAUCAAAAAUAAUUUUGAAGUUUCAGAUUUGUGGCCUUGUCGAGAUCAUGUCUGUAAAAAGAAUCGUGGCCUUGUAUGGCUUCAUGCGCGGAAGUGUGGCACAACUACAGUUUGGUCUCGUGCAACUAAAGCAAUGCCGAAACAAUCGAUGCGCAAGUCCAGGAGAAGUCGGGGCCGAAGAUCAAAUUCCUUGUUGGAAUAUCAUAUACAGAACACAACAAGCAUUGCUGAACAAGUUCUUUUCUUCAAGAAAAAGUUAAGUUCUAAAGAAAACUAA